rnacentral:rRNA from 1 species
AGUGAACGCUGGCGGUAGGCCUAACACAUGCAAGUCGAACGGCAGCACAGUAAGAGCUUGCUCUUACGGGUGGCGAGUGGCGGACGGGUGAGGAAUACAUCGGAAUCUACUUUUUCGUGGGGGAUAACGUAGGGAAACUUACGCUAAUACCGCAUACGACCUACGGGUGAAAGCAGGGGAUCUUCGGACCUUGCGCGAUUGAAUGAGCCGAUGUCGGAUUAGCUAGUUGGCGGGGUAAAGGCCCACCAAGGCGACGAUCCGUAGCUGGUCUGAGAGGAUGAACGGGCACACUGGAAGUGAGGCACGGUCCAGACUCCUACGGGAGGCAGCAGUGGGGAAUAUUGGACAAUGGGCGCAAGCCUGAUCCAGCCAUACCGCGUGGGUGAAGAAGGCCUUCGGGUUGUAAAGCCCUUUUGUUGGGAAAGAAAAGCAGCAGGUUAAUACCCCGCUGUUCUGACGGUACCCAAAGAAUAAGCACCGGCUAACUUCGUG